rnacentral:rRNA from 1 species
AAUGGGCGAAAGACCUGACGCAGCAACGCCGCGUGGAGGAUGAAGGCCCUUGGGUUGUAAACUCCUGUCGGCUGGGAAGAAAUCUUCCGGGGCUAAUACCUCCGGGAGUUGACUGUACCAGCAAAGGAAGCCCCGGCUAACUCUGUGCCAGCAGCCGCGGUAAUACAGAGGGGGCUAGCGUUAUUCGGAAUUAUUGGGCGUAAAGGGCGCGUAGGCGGCCAUGCGUGUCUUCCGUGAAAUCCCUCGGCUUAACUGAGGACGUGCGGAAGAAACUGCAAGGCUCGAGUCCGGGAGAGGGGGGUGGAAUUCCCAGUGUAGCGGUGAAAUGCGUAGAUAUUGGGAGGAACACCGGUGGCGAAGGCGGCCCCCUGGACCGGUACUGACGCUGAGGCGCGAAAGCGUGGGUAGCAAACGGGAUUAGAUACCCCGGUAGUCCACGCCGUAAACGAUGGGCACUUGGUGUCGCGGGUAUCGACCCCUGCGGUGCCGAAGCUAACGCAUUAAGUGCACCGCCUGGGGAGUACGG